CCUACGGGAGGCAGCAGUAGGGAAUCUUCCACAAUGGGCGAAAGCCUGAUGGAGCAACGCCGCGUGGGUGAAGAAGGUCUUCGGAUCGUAAAACUCUGUUGUUAGAGAAGAACGUGCGUGAGAGUAACUGUUCACGUUUCGACGGUAUCUAACCAGAAAGCCACGGCUAACUACGUGCCAGCAGCCGCGGUAAUACGUAGGUGGCAAGCGUUAUCCGGAUUUAUUGGGCGUAAAGGGAACGCAGGCGGUCUUUUAAGUCUGAUGUGAAAGCCUUCGGCUUAACCGGAGUAGUGCAUUGGAAACUGGGAGACUUGAGUGCAGAAGAGGAGAGUGGAACUCCAUGUGUAGCGGUGAAAUGCGUAGAUAGAUGGAAGAACACCAGUGGCGAAGGCGGCUCUCUGGUCUGUAACUGACGCUGAGGUUCGAAAGCGUGGGUAGCAAACAGGAUUAGAUACCCUGGUAGUC
rnacentral:rRNA from 1 species